UAAACCGGGCAAACUAUAUUAACAUAACACGAAGUUCAUCCUUCAACAGGUUCCAUCAAAACCCUAGACUAAAUAUUUAGCUACUCAUAAUUGCAUUCAUACUAACAACAGCAAAAGUCAUCAUAAAUGGUAAAAUACAAAAGGAAGAAAAGACGAACUCGAUGUUGAAUUAUCCUCCUUGCCUAUUGCCUCUCCUUGCCUUCAACUAAGCUGUAAAAACCUUGAUUAUGUCCCUUUGGGCGAGCUGAACCUCUUAUAGGUUAAGUGAAAUUAACCCUGAACUUCCAAGUUUGCCCCUGAAAUUAUAAUCUCCGAACUGGACUAGCGCAGCCGCACUCGUGCCCGCGCUAAUGGCCGUGCUAAGCUGGUCAUCAUUUUAGCUCAACUUUUCUCUCUACUUUCACACGCACUCAGCUCCGAGGGGAUUCCCUUGCUUCAAUUUUGCUCCAAACACUGUCCUAAGUCCUCAUAAGCGCAACUCGCUACUGCAAAACAUGAAAUUCACAAUUAGAACCAAUUUAUCGUCAUUUAACUAUCUUAGAACAGUGAAACAUAGUCAAGCUGGGGCAUAAACAUUCGCCAAAUUACAUGAAUCUAUCCUAUUAUCAGAAUCUAAUAACAUUAUAAAAGUUGUUGUACACCAUAAAUUUGCAUAACACGCCAUACUUUUUUAUUUAAAAAUCGAUCCACAACACACAAAAUAAAACAUAAAACAUAUAACAUAUGAAACGAUAAUUGUUAAUUAAAAGAGAGAGUUGAUGCAAAAGAGCUUGAGUAUUUUAUUGAUAGCAUUCUUCUUUUUAUACACAUAGAUUAGAAUGAGAUCCCAUGAAAAUAGACCAAUACAAAAGGAAAAGUAUACAAAGUGAAUCAAAGUGAAUAUUCUUGUGUCUGAGAAUAUCAAAACAAAUAUUCUUGUGAUUGAGAAUAUCACAAUCAAUCUUUAAUUUCCUUAUUAUUCCCCUGCAAGUUAGGAGUUGGUGAAACUACUCCUAACUUGAUCAGAUUGCGCCAAAAACAUGCUUUUGCUAGAGGCUUGGUAAGCAAAUUCGCCAGUUGAUCUGUCGGGUGAACAUGGAUUACUUGAAUCUUCUGUUAUUGAAUUUGAUCGCGAACAAAGUGAAAAUCAAUGGCUAUGUGCUUCAUUCGACUAUGAAAAACUGGAUUUUGUCAUAAGUAAGUAGUGCCCAUAUUAUCACAGUAAACUGUUGGUGUGCGAGAUAGAGCAAUAUGAAGUUUAGAAAGGAGAUUCAUUAUCCAAUUUGUCUCUGCGACAGCUCCAGCAACAACACGAUAUUCUGCCUCAAUGGAAGAUCUGGCUACAGUCCUUUGCUUUUUGGACGACCAACUGAUGGGAUUUGAGCCAAAAUAAAUAACAUAAGCAGAGGUAGAAGACCGAUCAUUCACAUCACCUGCCCAAUAUGUAUCAAAAUAAAUGUGUAAAGAUUUUUCGGAUUGACAACGAAGGAGAAGACCAUAGUUGAUUGUUUGCUUAAGGUAACGAAGAAGACGUUUGACAGCUUGCUAGUGUAUCAUUGUAGGCUUGUGCAUAAACUGCGAGAACUUGUUGACAGCAAAACUAAUAUCAGGCUGCGUAAAGGCAAGGUAUUGGAGUUUGCCGAUGGCACUUCGAUAUUGUUUGGUGUCAGUGAGUGCAAAACCAUCCUCAAGUUGUGGUGGUGUGGAGGUGCUGAGAGGCAUGGAAACUCUAUUGCAAUCAUCCAUACCAAAGUCUUUGAGAAUCUCACGUAUGUACUUUGAUUGAGAGAGAAAAAGGUUAUCAGCCAGAGGAAGUACUUCGACACCAAGGAAGAAGUUGAGUGGACCCAAAUCUUUUAGUGAGAAUCGAGCAGCAAGGGCAUCCAUCAAACUUUGGAGUGCUUGAGUGUUAUUCCCUGUUAUCACAAUAUCAUUGACAUACACAAGAAGAAACAGAGUAAUAUCCAAGUUUUUAUAAAUAAAGAGAGAAUUAUCAGAAUGAGCCUUGGUAAAAUCUGACUGAACUAAGAAAUUUCUUAGCUCGUUGCACCAUGCCUGGGGAGCUUGUUUGAGCCCAUAAAUGGCCUUUCGAAGGCGACAAACAUGAUUUGGAUAGUCAGGAUGCUCGAAGCCCUUUGGAUAUUGCAUGAAAACUUCUUCAUCAAGAUGUCCUUGUAAAAAGGCAUUAUUUACAUCAAGAUAGUGGAGCGACCAGCCGUGCAUCGUUUUAAUGGACAAGACAACUCUAACGGUUGUUGGUUUGACGACCGGGCUAAAGGUGGAAUCAAAGUCAAGGCUUGGACGUUGUGUGAAGCCUUUGGCAACUAUCUAGCUUUAUAUCGAUCAAGACUCCCAUCUACUUUACAUUUGACAUGGAAAAUCCAUUUGUUACCUAUAACAUUCUGAUUUUGCAUUGGUGGAACAAGGUCCAAAGUGUGAUUUUUGAGUAACGCAGAAAAUUCUUCUUGCAUAGAUGCAUGCCAGUGGGGGUCCUUAACUGCAUGUGAGACUGAACCAGGAGUAAUAAUUUCAUUAGAAAUGUCGCACCUCCUUUUCACCUACACCCCCGGAAGGAGGGCGUAUAUAAGGGAGUUUUUCCAAUUAAAGGACAAUCGAAACGGGAUUUAUUGUUAAGAGAUUCAGAGUCGCCAAUUGGGAGAUUUAUGGUGUCCCAAAUCACCGAUUGAAUCUCGAAUCGAGGAAAAGAUUAACUCUGUAUUACAGUCCGCGAACCAGAAAUCCGGGUAAGGAAUUCUGUUAACCCGGGAGAAGGUGUUAGGCAUUCCCGAAUUCCGUGGUUCUAGCACGGUCGCUCAACUAUUAUAUUUGGCCUAUUAUCUAAUUUUAAUAUAUGUUUUAGCCUAUGGUGCCAUUUUAAAUUAUUAGCCGCUUUAAUUAUUUCUAAGAAAAAUUGCAACGUCGUUUAAAAUACGUCUCGAACCACGUCACAUAAAUGCACCCGCAACUCUCGACAUAUUUUAUCUAACGUUGUUGAGAUUUGGAUUUGGGUUACAUAAAUGCGCACCCGAGUUUAAAGAAAUUAAUUAUUAAAAUAACGAGCCUAAAGCAACUCGUUUGCAACUUUGCGAGGGCCACAAAAAAUUCACUAAAUGUCGCACCUCAAUUUCGAAGGGUUUAAAAUUAAUUAAGCGAGGGCCAUGGGUUAUCUAAUUUUAUUUGUGGCACACCUCAAAUUUAUUAAAGGAAAAGCAUUCAACUAAGUGAACUACGACUAUUCACAUUAAAGCUAAUUUGAAAGCAAAUAUCACAACCGCGCCAUGGGAACCAUACCCGUAAGUGUGAUGAAUUAAUUAUGUGCCUAAAGCAAACCAUGAAAUUUACGUAUUAUUAAAUUCUAUAUCCAUUAAUUUACAAGGGAUCAAAAAUUACCAAUUACAUAGGGCUCUAUAUCAUCCCCUUAACUAUAAUAUAUGAUCUUGCUAACUAACUUUAAUGGCAAAAACAGACUUUUCAAUCGCACAACUACAAAGAAGAAUUCAAUUGUUCUGUUCUACAUGUUGAAACAAAAAUUCCCCAAAUACCCUUCUAUGCGUAAGUAGCUGUCAGCCUUGUUCAUAUCAGAGAUGCGCGAGCACUACAAGUAUUCUAAUAUUUCAUGAGUAAUCUAUAAAACAUUGACAGCAGCCGAAUAGGAGUCAAUCAAACGAAUAUGUAAAUCUGCUAAUUCAACUCAUACAAACGGGCGAGUCGCGACAGUAUGAAUCCACAUAAACCAUAUCUAAAAGGAAACAAGAUAAUAUGACAAAUAAUGGAAACAAACAGUUACUUAAAACUUCAGAUGUGAUUCAGUAGUUAAACAAACAAACAUCACGAAUGAAAGGGGCAAAAUAUUAGUGUCACGUGAGUUGUAAAACUGGAGCAAAGGAGAUCGAACAAAACAAUUCAUAUACCCACGGCACAAGAUUGGGAAAUUGGAAGAUGAGUAAAGUUAGAGUAUGACCUUUUAAUAACAAAUUUCUUUGCUUUAAGCAUGAAGAAACUCCAUUGAUGGAAAACUGGCCAGAAAACUUAAGCUAAAUGUACGGGGAUCUCGAACUAAAAAUCGGAUCUUGAAUGACGGCGAUGAACUCAACUCGAUCGGAAUAGAUUAUCACCGCAACUGACCUCGACCAUGGCAAUCUUCACGACUAACCUUAAUGGCUUUUGGGAGUGUUUUCUCAGCAGAAUAGAGGUGAGUAGAUGAAGCAAAAACGACUGGAAUGGCCGUUGGGUUCAGCUGUUGGGUAUCGUUCAGGUCUGGUUGGGAUGUGAAGAAGAAAGAACGACGUGAGGGUUGGGGUUGUUAUUGUGUUACGACGGAAUUGGGGUGGAGCUCGGUGACUGACUUCUAGGGCUGAGGUGCGUCGCUGGGAGGUUGCGAGGAGGUCCAGCGACGAUGGUGAGCUGAAGGGUGGUCAUCGACGGGGGGUGUGCGAUGGUGACGUUGAGUUGCUGUGUUCUUAGCUGCUACGAGUAAAUGAGAAGAAAACCUUGGGGGUCUGGUCGUUUGGUGUUCAGGCUGCUAUGGAGAUGGAGUUCUUGCUUAGGGUUUUUAUGUUAAGCCCUCAUGAAGAAGAAGGAUCGAGGGUCAUUUUGGGUGGGGGUCUGCGGAGAAGAUGAGGUCCAAGGGGUGGGUCUCGUAUUGUUCUGCACAGUUUUUUUUUGCUUUUCUCGUUGUUCUCCUCCUUUCAG
rnacentral:lncRNA from 1 species